rnacentral:rRNA from 1 species
AGUGGCAAACGGGUGAGUAACGCGUAGGCAACCUGCCCUUCAGAUGGGGACAACAUUUCGAAAGGAAUGCUAAUACCGAAUGACGUGCAUUGGUCGCAUGACCGAUGCACCAAAGGCCGGGCAACCGGUCACUGAAGGAUGGGCCUGCGUCUGAUUAGCUAGUUGGUGGGGUAACGGCCCACCAAGGCGACGAUCAGUAGCCGGUCUGAGAGGAUGAACGGCCACAUUGGGACUGAGACACGGCCCAAACUCCUACGGGAGGCAGCAGUGGGGAAUCUUCCGCAAUGGGCGCAAGCCUGACGGAGCAACGCCGCGUGAGUGAAGAAGGUUUUCGGAUCGUAAAGCUCUGUUGUCAGGGACGAGAGACUUGAUCAGGAAAUGGGUCAAGGAGGACGGUACCUGGCGAGAAAGCCACGGCUAACUACGUGCCAGCAGCCGCGGUAAUACGUAGGUGGCGAGCGUUGUCCGGAAUUAUUGGGCGUAAAGGGAGCGCAGGUGGGAUUGUAAGUCAGUCUUAAAAGUUCGGGGCUCAACCCCGUGAUGGGAUUGAAACUACAAUUCUUGAGUGCAGGAGAGGAAAGCGGAAUUCCUAGUGUAGCGGUGAAAUGCGUAGAUAUUAGGAGGAACACCAG